rnacentral:lncRNA from 1 species
UACAGUAUUUAGAGAGUCUUUAUUAUUGCAUGUCUUCUCGUAUCCUAUAGCCGAUUGACUAUGCGAACGGCCUCUGGUUAUAGCAGUCCAGGUUGUCGCCGUAGCUGACACCGAGGAGGUCACAGUAGCGCUUGUAGAACCCGAUCCGGUCAGCGACACGGGCGUCCUGCCCGCGCCCGCACUCGAGCCCACCGUUGAUGAUGUUGGUGAUCACGCCGUACCCAGGCACCCUCCCCGCCGCCUGGUCGGUGCCCGAGGGGCUCCACCGGCCCGUGAUCACGUCAUGGCUUGAGGGUUUGGGUGACUGCGGCGUCAUCCAGAACCACAACGCCGUCUUAAACGAUACGGUCGCGUCCGUGGCCACGAGGUCCGGGUUGUUAAGUAGGUCGGUGCCGAUGGCCUGCCCCGCCGGCCCGUAGUUGUAGUUGUGCGAGAUCUGGAUGGGCCCGCGCCCGAAGUACUUCUUGCCCGGCGCGCAUGGCCACUGCGAGCUCGGCGUGCAGUAGUCGGAGGUGGCGCCGCGCUCCUGGUUGAAGCAGUAGCCCCAGGAGUAGGGGCCGUCGGGCGCCGUCGGCCACCCGCCGGUCGUCUCGUGUGAGGUCUGAGCGAGGAACGCUGCCACCUCGCGCUUCCUGACGUCGGUGCCACCCGUGGUCGCGAAGCCCGAGAACGAGUUGGCGGCGGCGACGAAGGCGCCGUAGUUGUAGAACCCCUUGGCCUGGCACGCGGCAUCGUUGCGGUGCAGCAGCAUCUGGUCGAAGAGCGACUGCGAGAUAAUGGAGGACACGCCACCGCCGCCGGAGGGGGUCGGUACCGGUACCGGGGUGCCGCAGCCGUUGCACUGGCUCUGGCAGCCGUUGCCGCAGUAGUCGGAGGUGGAGCCGCAGAAGCCGAACUUGCUGCAGCAGAGGCAGUUGGGGCACGUCGCCCCGCCGGCCUGCGAACCGCACUGCUCGGCGUGCGCAGACACGGCGAAGGCCGCGGCCAGCAUGGCCACCACCACAACUCCUCUCAUCUUGGGCAAUGAAGCAGAGCCCGCUCAGCAGGUGAUUUAGUUACUAGCUAGUGCGUCACACUGCUCGUGUAGUGGUGUGUGUGUGUGUGCGCGCCAGAAGCUGGUGCAGUGCACGUCUUUAUAUAGCCAGCAAGCCACAGCAGACGUGUCCAACUUUCCACGAGUCCAUGAUCGAUCUACUUAGUCUAGCUACGCAGUCCAAGCAAGUUCGGCAGAUCUCGAAAGCGAUCUAGUACGUGUACUUUGUACGCAUGUUCCGAUCUCGUGUAAGCUAGCUACAUACGAGUCAGUGAUCACUAAUGGAAGCAUGGAAUGCCGGUGCUGGUGCAGAUGCCGGUGCACCGGACGUUGAUCGGGAUGGAAGUAAGCGUGGAAAAUUCCUCUCAACUCAACUUCGAUGGCUCACUGGGUCAGAUUUUUCUCCCCGCUUCCUGCGCGCAUGCAAGCAAGCAAGCAUGCAUGCAUGCAUGCACCAGCUCAGCUUUGAUGUGCGACCAAACAUUGAUCGCCGCAUUAAUGGAUGGACGGACGUGGAAUUUUCUUGGAAUUAAACAUGGCUUGCGUGCAUGGAAUUCCAUGCAUAUGCUAUUCAUAUAUUUUUUCUUUCUUUUUACUCGUUUCUUUCUGUUAGUGACGCCCUGCCGACCAGGCAAACUAUGUUGGAUACAUAUAUGAAUAGUCUCAAUUAUUUCCCGCAAAAAAAGUAUCAAUUACAACGGAAAAUACACAGGAGCUCCUUGUAGCUUGUGCUCCACGCUUCUAUAUGAAUAUUAAAUUUAAAAAUACCGGAAAAAUUCAAAAAAAUCCUGUAAUUUAGGCAUAUCAAACCUGGGUGCCCAAUCUACUUCAAUGUGAAGUUUCCUGAAAAACAAACCAGGAAAUGUCGGUGGCGAAGAAAAUACAGAACGACCUACGAUCUAUCCAAACAGUUUUUUUAUACAUUGAUUUUUUUUUUCACCGAGAGAAUAUUUCCUAGUAUUUGUUCACGAGAUUUCACACAUAAGUAGAUUGGAUACCUAGCUUUGAUAUCCCAAAAUUCUAGUUUUUUUAGUUACCCUCGUUUGUUUUAUGAAUUUAAUACUUAUAUAAGGGGUGGAGCACCCAGUGUUCCAAAUCCUCUUCCCCAAUACAAAUCACAUUUCACAGAUUAAGAACAAUUGAAUUACACAUCUUUCCAAGUUAAGACAGGAUUAUUAUAUUUCAAAGAUAAACAUAAAUAAAAUAGAGUAAAAUAACACUAAUGAUCAUCAUUUUCUAAUUCGCAAAGAAAAAACAUCGUCUUUCCUCUUGAACCCGUUACUUGCAAGGAUCAAAUCUUAUAUAGGUAGAUAGAUAAAUUGCAAAACAAAAUAAAAGUAAAUAAAUUGCGGCAAUGUAUUUUUGGUUUUUAUAAUAUGAUAAAAGUAGACAUAGGGGCCAUAGUUUUCACUAGAGGCUUCUCUCUCGAACACAUAGCAUACAAUGAGUAAACAAAUACUGUUGGGCAAUUAAUAGAAAAUUGCAUAGUUAUGACGUUAUUCAUGGCAAUGAUCACGCAUGUAGGCAUCACACAAGUAGAUUGACUCCUGUCUGCAUCUAUUAUUAUUACUCCACCAAUCGACCACUAUCCAACAUGCAUCUAUGGUAUUAAGUUCCUGACAAAUAGAGUAACGCCUUAAGCAAGAUGGCAUGAUGUAGACAAAGUAAACCCAAUAAAUAUGAAUAAACCCCGUCAUUUUAUCCUUAGUAACAAUAAUACAAUACAUGCCUCGCUACCCCUUCUGCCAUGAGGUGAGCACACCACAAGAUUGAACCCACUACAAAGCACCUCUCCCACUGAAGAUAAAUCAAUCUAGUUGGCGAAAUCAAACAGAUAGAUUAGAGAGAAAUACAAUUCAUCGGAUACUGACAAACACACCGCAAAAGACUCAAUUACUUUCAAUGAAUAAUUCGAUCAUAAACCUACAAUUCAUCGGAUCCCGACAAACACACCGCAAAAGAAGAUUACAUCGAAUAGAACUCCAAGAAGAUCGAGAAGAACAUUGUAUUGAAGAUCAAAGAGAGAGAAUAAGUCAUCUAGCUACUAGCUAUGGACCCGUAGGUUUGUGGUGAACUACUCACGCAUCGUCGAAAGGCAGCAAGGAUGAUACAGAAGCCCUUCGUGAUCGAUUCCCCCUCCGACAGAGUACCAAAAAAGGCUUCCAGAUGGGAUCGCGGAAGAACAGAAAUUUGCGGCGGCGGAAAAAGUGUUUCGGGUGGCUCUCUAGGGGUUUCCCGAUAUUUGAGAAUUUAUAGAAGGGGAAUUAGGUCAGACGGAGCCACGUGGAGCCCACAAGGUAACAUGGCACACCCUACCCCCUGGGCGCGCCCUGUUGCCUUGCCGUCUCCUCGCUUCCCGUUUGGUCUCCUCCUGAAGCUUCUAGGGUCUCUUAUGUCCAGAAAAAAAUCGUCAAAAAUUUUUGUAGCGUUUGGACUUCGUUUGGUAUUGAUUUUCUGGAAAACCAAAAACAGGCAGAAAACAACAACUGACGGUAGGCACUGGGUAAAUAGGUUAGUUCCGGAAAAUGGUAUAAAAUAGCAUAAAGAUGCAUAUAAAGUAUCCAAAAUUGAUAAUAUAAUAGCAUGAAACAAUAAAAAAUUAUAGAUACGUUAGAGAUGUUUCAGACCUACAACCGUAGUGACGAAUGACCGCAAAGUAAGUGCGUGUUUAUUAAAACUUAAUUUUCUAGACAUUGACUUGAAAGAUGCAAUAGUCGGGGACAUCUUUAUAGGAUUGUUGGCAACGGUCCCAGAAUAUUUUCUGUAUCAUCUUAAUUUUCUAGACAUUGACUUGAAAGAUGCAAUAGUCACGACUUCUCCUUACAGCAACUUUUAGAAAACGAAGUGAAGAUAGCCUAUAAAGCAAGGCCAAAUAUUUGUUGUCAGGGACGAUCAAAAGGCACUUGGGUGUACUGGUUGACAAGGUUGGAUACGUGCCAUCUAUUUUGAUUCCGGUAGAUGCCUCUCUUUCUUCUAUCAUUUAUUGCCGCUUUGUUUCCACUUUCUUCAGUAGAUUUUACAUUUCGCAAGUUUCAGUGUCCAAAAGUUGGUUUCAAAACUCACACCCACAAGAUUGAUAAGUGCAAUAUUCUUUCUGCACAAGAGCUAUCACAGUGACACCAUACCUUGAGAAUCACUUAGUACAUAUGAAAACUAGAUUAUGAUAAUUGACAUUUCAUGAUCGGAUCUCAUGGAAAUCAUGAUAUUGUAUUUUGCAUCUUCAAAUUUAUGAUAUUGUAUUUUGCUUCACCAUAAUUGUAUUGGUACAAAGAACACCAUAGUUAGAUUUACCAUAAAAAUAUAUUCUUAGCACAAUUCCGCGUGGUUACAUAGAUCAGACCACGGCCGAACCAUCAAAAACCAUCAUCUCUAAGAUGACAGAGGGCAAGGAUCAGCUCGUCCCAAACCCUGCCUAUGCUCCAUCGCUCGUCCAAGAUCAACAUAUUAUAGCUUGUCUCCUUCACAGCCUAUCCAAGGAGGUUCUCGUCCAAGUGGGUUCAAUUGAAAAAUCGCAUGCUAUUUGGGCCACACUCCCCAACAUGUUCUCAGCCCAAUCAAUAGGUACACAAAUGGUUCAGAUUUCCUGGAUUAAUAGAAGUGUAUAGGUAAACUUCUUGGAUUUAAUUACGGAUGCCCUCUGCAAUUCUGUAUAUUAGAAGUACAAAGGCUGGAGCAUCUAGUUAACACUGCAUCCCAUGGGAUUAUCAAAACUUAUGGCCUAAUCUUUAACUGCAAGGCCUUUUUGAGUUUGCCACCAGUCCAUGGAUUAUCAAAUGUAAUAUGACCCCGUAAUAUCUGAGCUUGACUCCGGUUUGAUUCUAACACUGAUACUAUAUAUUCUUCUUCGUGAAGAAUGAUUAUAUAAUUACAGCCCGAUAAAUUGUUUUAAUUUGGCAUCCACAAAAAAUCACUUGACUUCAGAAGAAACAUAUACAAAAUAAACAAAUUUAACAUAUACUACAACUACUAUAUGUUAUCUAAAUCCAUGAAACUAACAAUAUAGAAGAUAAAUGCACAUGUUUGAUUACUAACCUCAAGCAGAUCAAGAUCAUUAGUGCGGAGAGUGAGAAUUACAGUAGACAGCUUUGAGACCUUCCGUUGAGGGUACUCGUGAGAUCAGAAGCUUGCCAAUAGCUCGCCAGAUAUCCUCGGAGUGCCCAACAACCUAUAGUAUUCAAAAACGAAGAUAGUCCAUCAACAUAUAACGCAAUGACCUGCAUCCUCCAGUUUUGAUGUCAACUUCUUUAACAAAAAAUUAGUAGUAGGAGAGUUCGUUACAAUGAAAAAAUAAUAUUUUGGAGAAUUACAAUACAAGAAGAAUAACUGAUAUUAGUAGCUUUAACAAAAUCUCAGUAGCGACUCCACUUCAAGGCAAAUGCCAUCUUUGUCAGCAUCAAUAAAUUAGAAUAAAUUGGAUAUCCGGUGUGAUCCAGUUGUUCUUCACAACAUAGAUUUAGCAUUAUAGUGUUGAAAAUUCAACCUUAUUUCAUCUCCUCCCUAUGAAUGACAUUAUACAUAUUAUGCAACCAUGGCUCUUGCAAGCAUAAGAAUUGAUUAGAGAUGUAACAACUAUGAAAGAUUUCAUUGUCAAUAACUACACACACACAAAAUUAUCGUGCAUGUGUGCAUAUACUUGACAAUGUUUUUCUUGUAAACAAAAAUAUAUAAUAACUUGACAAGAUCAUAUGUCGCCUGACACACUGUGAGCACGAAUAUAAAUAUAACUUGUCAGUUGUGACAUUUUCCCAUGUUUAGAUCUUCGAAGUUUGCUACUCAUCCAUGACGCACAGAGUAAUUUAAAACAAAAAAACGAAAAUUGCAUCUACCAACUGAAUGGUUGAUACUAUGGAGGGAUAAGACGGUAUACAUACUCUGGCAUUUUGUCGAGCAUCUAGCGUGCAUGCUGUGACAAGCACAGGUGAAGCAGAGCAAUUUUUACCUGGAGGGGCAAGGAUCUCAAGAGCCCACUGCAGUUAAAGUACGUACAAUAUGGCUUAUAACCCGCUUACAUGGCAUUUUUGCCUAUGUGGAGGAGAGAGACACCAAAAAAUAAGAAGAGCGAACUCUCGUGCAAGAGCCCAACUAUAUGCUAGCUUAUAGGCAAAUACAAUAAAUGCAAAGAAAGAGAAAGAGAGAUGCUUAGAAAAAGUACUAAUCUUAUAGCUAACCUUAUAGCCCGCCUUAUUAUAUGAGUGAGUAUAGUAGAUGACUAUAGAUGACAUGGAAACUUCAUAUAGCCAUCAACUGGCUAUAUACUAUUAACCAUGCUCUUAGGAGUGAAAGGUUGCAUAACCUAUUGUCUUCUGCAAGGUGCCAGUCCUUGUCUAAGAAGUUGUGACCAACAGUGGUCAUGGUUGUAGGUCGUAGCUAGCGAAAGCGGGCUCAUGGUGGACGUGAGUCUAAGGUGGCACGUGGAUUUCUCCUGCUGCCUGAUGUCCGAUAAGACGUUAGACGCGCAGUUCGCCCUCCUUGGCCUCAUUAUGGGCGUGAGCGCUGACAGGAGAUGGGAAGUGGCGAAGAAGUCGGCGACGAGGAGGGGGCAUGGUGGUGAUGGUUGGCGGUGGCACAUCUAGGAGAAAGUAUGUGGCGGGAGAUGAACUGGCGGCGUCGGUGGCGUAUUUGUGGAGGGUGGCGUCAGAGGAAGCUGGGAAGGGAGCGAAGGAGAUGGCGCAGAGGAGGGGGCGUGGUGGUGGUAGGCGGUAGGCUGCCACAGCAGAGGAGGCAUGCGAGGAGUUGGGGGUAGAUGGCGGCGGCACCAGGUCUCAAGACACCAGAGAAACGAAGAGGAUUUCUGCAAAAUCAUGGAGUGGAGUGGUAGACGAUUUUUUUUAGACGUGCCACAGUUUGCCUCACAUACGUUAGAUGUAGAUCGAACGGUCAAAAAUGCUGGAUGGCAGACAUACCAUCAUCAUCAAUUGUGAUUUUUAUACAAGUAGAGCGUAGAGGUAUAUGAUAUGACCAACAUAAGAUGUGAAUCUUGGAUUGGAAGAAAAAAACACCUCGUGGCUCUCACACCGCCCGUGCGGGCGAAAACCCUAGCACCCUAGCCACCCACUCCCCCUCUCCCUCCCUUCCCAUCGCCAGUUGAGGACGUCGUCAGUCGCCGCGCGACAUCCGAUGAAGGUGGUGGCGAGGCUCUGCUCCCUGCUUCACUGCAGGGAGCUUUGGGCGCCGAGGCGACGACUUUGGAUCUGACGGGCGGCGUCGACCUCUUCGGUGGGUGGCGCUGCAGGUGCAUGCAGGUUGCCCCUCUGGUCGCGCGGGCAGUGGUUGGGCGGCGGAGGCGCUUCGCUGCUCGGAUCUCUGGCCUCGUUCCGUGAUGCGGCUUUCCCCCAUCGCUGAUCCCGAUAUGGCCCUUUCAGGCUACCAGAUCAAUCCCCAGAUGAUGUGGCGACAGAAGACUGGAACGGGGGAAUCCCUUGGUCGACUCCGCAUCGACCUCGUCGACGACAGCGGUGCUCUGGCUUCGCUACUCCCCUCCUGACGGCUUGUUAGGUUUCCUCUUCCUUCCCCCCUCCCCUCCUUUAGUCCACGGGUGAAAACCUAGGGCUUUGGCCGGCCGGUGGCGACCCACUGGCGUCGUGGUCCUCCUUGGAAGUGCCGGCUUGGGGUUGGGGUGCUGCUAUCUGUGGCUUGCUGGUGGCUGCUGUGCAAUGCGUCCUCGGAUAUCCGGCGACGGUGGAGGCGGGGGAUGUGUGCCUUGUUGCCCUUCGGUGGCUGCUGCCCUGCUGCGUUCGUGCUUGCCGGCCUAUGAGCAGCAUCCUCAUGCUGGAUGUAGGGGAGAUGGUCGCCCCUCCGGCAUUGGCACGACUGGGUUGUGGCAGAGCUAAUGGUUUCUCCUUGCAAGGCUCGAUCCUCCUCCACUUUUCACUGGCGGUUCGUUCCCUUUGUUCUGGUCGAUGUUGUGCUCUCUGACAACAUGGUUUUGUUUCUCCAUGUGUUGACAGUUCCGCUCUUUGGCUGACUUCUGUAGUUUCUAUGUCUGUAAUUUUUCAGUCUUUUUUUCCUCAUGCGCAGCCCUUGUAAUAAUCUGCACUUUAUAUCCUACCCGGUUGAUGGUUUUAUUAAUUUGAAGUCGAGUUAAAUGCAUUUCAUUUGAAAAAACUUUGAUAGGAACAUAUCAUUUAUUGCAUAAUAAUCGACUACACACGCAUCUUACGAUGAUCGCACCAUUAUUCCCUUGUACUAGGCGAUGUCUAUCGCAACGCCAUUGUUACAAUAUUUAGUGUGAGCCUUUAUUUUUUGCAUGUCUUCUCGCAUCAUAUAGUCGAUCGACUAUGCGAACGGCCUUUGGUUGUAGCAGUCCAGGUUGUCACCGUAGCUGACGCCAAGGAGGUCGCAGUAGCGCUUGUAGAACCCGAUCCGGUCGGCGACACGGCCGUCCUGCCCGCGCCCGCACUCGAGCCCACCGUUGAUGAUGUUGGUGAUCACACCGUACCCAGGCACCCUCCCCGCCGCCUGGUCGGCGCCCGAGGGGCUCCACCGGCCCGUGAUCACGUCGUGGCUCGAAGG